rnacentral:rRNA from 1 species
AGAAUGAGGAGAUUCAUCGUCAGCUUAUUCAGUAUUAAUGCAGGCUAUGAUGUGAUAAUAGAAUCCUUGUGGUCAAUAGAUUAUACUUGCUUGUAUUAUUUUUGGGGGGUAUGUCGGCGUGCAUUUCUCCUAUAGUAGAACGUCGCAACCCGUUGGAUGUUUAUCUAUGGCUUGAAUGGUAGCCUUUGAUAUUUUUUAUAUUGAAGCCCUUCGAUGUCCUGAUAAACUGUUUGACGGUAUACAUAUGGUAUUGAGCCGCAAUUAUUUGCGUUAGACUUCCCGCAAGUAAGACUUUAUUCUAGUAGUGCGGAUCUAAUGCCGUCGCUGGACAAAGUCUGCUGUUACGCUGUGUAACGUC